rnacentral:misc_RNA from 1 species
AACGCACAUUGCACCUUCUGGCAUUCCGGGAGGUAUGCCUGUCCGAGCGUCAUUUCACCCCUCAAGCUCCGGCUUGGUGUUGGGCCACAUCCCCCAACGGAUGAGCCUCAAGAUCAGUGGCGGCGUGGCAUGAUCCCGAGCGUAGUGACACUAUUUUUGCUCCGUGGAUUUCGUGCGACGUUGGCCAGAACUGGAUGUCACAGUCCAACUUCUCAAAGGUUGACCUCGGAUCAGGUAGGGAUACCCGCUGAACUUAA